rnacentral:rRNA from 1 species
GACGAACGCUGGCGGCGUGCUUAACACAUGCAAGUCGAGCGGUAAGGCCCUUUCGGGGGUACGACGAGCGGCGAACGGGUGAGUAACACGUGGGUGACCUGCCCUUAGCUCUGGGAUAAGCCUGGGAAACUGGGUCUAAUACCGGAUAUGACCUCAUGACUCAUGUUGUGGGGUGGAAAGCCUUGUGCGGCUAGGGAUGGGCCCGCGGCCUAUCAGCUUGUUGGUGGGGUAAUUGCCUACCAAGGCGACGACGGGUAGCCGGCCUGAGAGGGCGACCGGCCACACUGGGACUGAGACACGGCCCAGACUCCUACGGGAGGCAGCAGUGGGGAAUCUUGCGCAAUGGGCGAAAGCCUGACGCAGCGACGCCGCGUGAGGAUGACGCCU